rnacentral:sRNA from 1 species
UGGGGCUGCCGGACCGUGAGGCUGUGAGCCGCGCGGACGGAGCCGGGCAAGAGCGGGCGGUGGCGGCAGGAUGAACAGCAUCAAGAACGUGCCGGCGCGGGUGCUGAGCCGCAGGCCGGGCCAUAGCCUGGAGGCCGAGCGCGAGCAGUUCGACAAGACCCAGGCCAUCAGCAUCAGCAAAGCCAUCAACACCCAGGAGGCCCCCGUGAAGGAGAAGCACGCCCGGCGCAUCAUUCUGGGCACACACCACGAGAAGGGGGCUUUCACCUUCUGGUCCUACGCCAUUGGACUGCCGCUGCCCAGCAGCUCCAUUCUCAGCUGGAAGUUCUGCCAUGUCCUCCACAAGGUCCUUCGAGACGGGCACCCCAAUGUGCUGCAUGACUGCCAGCGGUACCGCAGCAACAUCCGGGAGAUCGGAGACCUGUGGGGACAUUUGCAUGACCGCUACGGACAGCUGGUGAAUGUCUACACCAAGCUGCUGCUGACCAAGAUCUCCUUCCACCUCAAGCAUCCCCAGUUUCCUGCAGGCCUGGAGGUGACAGACGAGGUACUGGAGAAGGCAGCUGGGACUGAUGUCAACAACAUCUUCCAGCUCACUGUGGAGAUGUUUGAUUACAUGGAUUGUGAGCUGAAGCUUUCUGAAUCAGUUUUCCGACAGCUCAACACGGCCAUCGCCGUAUCCCAGAUGUCCUCAGGCCAGUGCCGCCUGGCCCCGCUCAUCCAGGUCAUCCAGGACUGCAGCCACCUCUACCACUACACGGUCAAGCUCCUGUUCAAGCUACACUCUUGUCUCCCUGCGGACACCCUGCAAGGCCACAGGGACCGGUUCCACGAGCAGUUUCACAGCCUCAGGAACUUCUUCCGCAGAGCCUCUGACAUGCUGUAUUUCAAGCGGCUCAUCCAGAUCCCCCGGCUGCCCGAGGGACCCCCUAACUUCCUGCGGGCCUCAGCCCUGGCUGAGCACAUCAAGCCGGUGGUGGUGAUCCCCGAGGAGGCCCCGGAGGACGAGGAACCGGAGAAUCUCAUUGAGAUCAGCACGGGGCCCCCCGCGGGGGAGCCAGUGGUGGUGGCUGACCUGUUCGAUCAGACGUUUGGACCCCCCAAUGGCUCUGUGAAGGAUGACAGGGACCUCCAGAUUGAGAGCUUGAAGAGAGAGGUGGAAAUGCUCCGCUCUGAGCUGGAGAAGAUCAAGCUGGAGGCCCAGCGGUACAUCUCGCAGCUGAAGAGUCAGGUGAAUGCACUGGAGGGUGAGCUGGAGGAGCAGCGGAAGCAGAAGCAGAAGGCCCUGGUGGAUAAUGAGCAGCUCCGCCACGAGCUGGCCCAGCUGAGGGCUGCCCAGCUGGAGGGCGAGCGGAGCCAGGGCCUGCGUGAGGAGGCUGAGAGGAAGGCCAGUGCCACGGAGGCGCGCUACAACAAGCUGAAGGAAAAGCACAGUGAGCUCGUCCAUGUGCACGCAGAGCUGCUUAGAAAGAACGCGGACACAGCCAAGCAGCUGACGGUGACGCAGCAAAGCCAGGAGGAGGUGGCGCGGGUGAAGGAGCAGCUGGCCUUCCAGGUGGAGCAGGUGAAGCGGGAGUCAGAGUUGAAGGUAUGUCCCUUGUGGCACAGGGCCCUGCCCCGGCAUCCCCAGCCCACUGCCCCAGUGACACGCUGUCCUGUCUCAGCUGGAGGAGCAGAGUGACCAGCUGGAGAAGCUCAAGAGGGAGCUGGAGGCCAAGGCCGGAGAGCUGGCCCGCGCGCAGGAGGCCCUGAGCCACACAGAGCAGAGCAAGUCGGAGCUGAGCUCACGGCUGGACAUGCUGAGUGCGGAGAAGGAUGCGCUGAGUGGAGCUGUGCGGCAGCGGGAGGCAGACCUGCUGGCAGCGCAGAGCCUGGUGCGCGAGACAGAGGCGGCGCUGAGCCGGGAGCAGCAGCGCAGCUCCCAGGAGCAGAGCGAGUUGCAGGGCCGGCUGGCAGAGAGGGUAUGGCCUCCCCAGAUGCAGCAGCACUGCUGAGUUCACUGCCGCCUGGCAGCCAUCGAUCUCUCUCCGUGAUCUGCCUGUUCUAGAGAUUUCACGUAAAGGGCAUCAUACACGAUGCAUCCUUUUGUGUCCGGCUUCUUCACUGAGCAUCACGUUGUCAAGGGUCACC